GACGUAGGAUGCGAGCGUUGUCCGGAUUUAUUGGGCGUAAAGAGUUCGUAGGCGGUCUGUUAAGUCAAAUGUUAAAGGUCGGGGCUCAACCCCGAAGGUGCAUUGGAAACUGGCAGGCUGGAGUGCGGUAGGGGUAAGUGGAAUUCCUGGUGUAGCGGUGAAAUGCGUAGAUAUCAGGAAGAACACCAGUGGCGUAAGCGACUUACUGGGCCGUAACUGACGCUGAGGAACGAAAGCCAGGGGAGCGAAUGGG
rnacentral:rRNA from 1 species